GAAAUGCUUUCAGAGGGAACAUCACUGCUACCACCCUUGACACCUCAGCUCCUAAUCUUAGUAAGAGAACCGGAACUACCCUUUUAUCUCAGGUAUCAAACUCAUGAAGAGCAAAGAAGAGAGGAGAGAAACAUUAUUCAGAGACUUGGGAAUUUGGGAGUUAAAGAGACAACAUUUAUAGAUAGAGCCUUCCUAGAGUUGUCCAAGCCCAGAGAAUGACAACGCUGGGAACGAAUCCUAACGCCAAUGAUGAACUUGGACUGUUAACGGGCGAUGUGUUAGGGAACCUUCCUGCUGACCCGGAGAGGGCCGAGAAGGGACGCGCUUUGGGGCAGGAACAGGAACCGGCAGUGGCCCGCGGGAGCCCAGGCCCUUUUCGAGGCGAGUCGUUAAUGAGAACUGACUGAGGCUGGGAGGAGAAUGCAGGCCGGCCUGGGUUCCGCCCUCCAUGCUAAUGAAGAACGCAGCGAGGUGGAUAAUUAAGGGCAGUGAUGUGAAUAAUUCCACACCGAUAAUCCAAAGGUGGAGUCUGUCUGCCCUGCCUCUUGAUUAUCCGACACAUUCAGCUCCAUUAAACAGGUCACUGGCAAAAAUGAGCAAAACUAGAAGUUCUCUAGGUGGAAGAGAAAUAGGAAAAUUUGGGUUGGUCUCGUGGAACUUCAGCCACUCCCCAUGUUCUCCAUGCCAGCUGAGAAAGCAUCUUUAAGCAAAACACAAGUCAAAAAUGGCCACAGCAUCACACACCGGGCUCGGAAGCUCCACCAUCUAUAUGGUCCGGCCCCGUAGGACAACAUGCAGGGAAAGAGACGCACAGAAAGGUCAGGGCCUUUUAAAACGUUCUCACCGAAUCACUCAAGAUUGUAUCAGCACGAAGCAUGUCAUCCACACCAAUAUCCUCAGAGCCUCCUCAUGAAUAAUGUGACUAACAAGCGUCAUGUGUGGCCGCCUGGCACCCUGGGAGCUUCAUCAGCCUGACUCCUCAGGUUCAGGUAACACACCCACAAGAUGAGAGAAGCCAGGAGCUGGAGAAGAACCCAGAACAGAAGACCUUCACCUUUCCACUCAGAGGUGGUCUGUGAGAGGAUGAACAUAUGCGCAGCUAUUCUGGGGUUCCAACUCAGUCAGGGAACAACACUCCUACAGGUGUAGUGUUUGUUUUCAAAGUUCUGGAAUAUGCCAAAGGUUAGAUGUGUGCAUAAGUUUCAUAUGCAAUGGUUUCCUUUUUCAAAAGUCUGAAAAACAGUUAGUACAACGUGGAUCACUGACCUCCCAGAGAAUUUUCUAUGAUUACGGUACACAUGGGGGACAGAGGUGGAUGAGACAGGGCAUUCAAAGCAAGUACCUGAAGCUGGGUUUGCCCAACCUGUUGUAUGGGUAGUACUGAAAUAAGCACAGCUAUUUGAAGUGGUACAUAAAUGUACAUUUUAAAAAUGUUAAUAAUGUGACACUGACUUUAACAUGAAUUAGGAUAAAAGUAACACAACGAUGUUUCAGAUCUGUGAUUACAUCAAUAUAAGUACGAAGGGUGAAUAAAGAAAAAUGUAGGCUAUUUAAAGAGAAAUAUCAGGUUUAAAUAAGAAUAUAGGGACUUCCGCUUCCAGUCAAAAUAGAAUAACAAGGGUCAGAUUUAUUUUCCCACCUGAAACAACUGGAAACAAAAACAAGCACACGACGACGCGAUACCACUCAAGAGAGUGGAUAUCAGGCUUUGAUAGUGGUUGAACAAAGUAAAUGAGCCCUAUAACUGCCUGUCCUCUUAUUACCUGGAGAAAGUUUCCAGGUCACGGCACAGGAAUGGGGGACCCAAUCAAGGCUGGGGAGUAGUUGUCUUGACUCAUAGAGAUGACCCUGAGAGUGUAGAGGAGCCAGCUCUCUGUGAGCAAAAAUAAACGACUCUCUAAGCUUGACUGCAUAUUAGAUACAAAAAUUAACCCAAAAUGUAUCACAGAUCUAGGGGCACCAGGGUAUCCGAGUCAGUUAGGUGUCUGCCUUCAGCUCAAGUCAUAAUCCCAGGGUCCGGGGAUU